CGGCGUGCGUCCAGUGGCCUUGGCAUUUCCCUGCCCUCUGCUCCAGGCUGCAUGCCCACAGCCUCAGAGCCCAGACAGGCGGGUGAGGCCCCUGGAGGGCACCUGACCGAGGAGCCUGGCGUGAGCAGGCGGGCCACCUCCACCGACCCCUGACCACACGUGUGUCUUCCCUGCAGGCCCAGCCACCAUGGCCCAGUGCAAGGCCGAGCCGGACGACUGGCUGACCGUCUACCUGAAGUACUUACUCUUUGUCUUUAACUUCUUCUUCUGGGUGGGGGGCGCCGCCGUCAUGGCCGUGGGCGUCUGGACCCUGGUGGAGAAGAGCGGCUACCUCAGUGUCCUGGCCUCCAGCACCUUCGCCGCCUCCGCCUACAUCCUCAUCUUCGCGGGCGCCCUCGUCAUGGCGACUGGCUUCCUGGGCUUCGGCGCCGUCGUCCGUGAGGACCGGAGCUGCCUCUCCACAUACUUCUCCCUGUUGCUGGUCAUCUUCCUCGUUGAGCUGGUGGCGGGGGUGCUGGCCCACCUGUACUACCAGAGGCUGAGCGAUGAGCUAAGGCAGCACUUGACCCGGACCCUGGCAGAGAACUACCGGCAGCCCGGCGCCGCCGAGAUCACGGCCUCCGUGGACCGUCUGCAGCAGGACUUCAAAUGCUGCGGGAGCAACAGCUCAGCCGACUGGCAGCACAGCACCUACAUCCUGUCUCGGGAGGCUGAGGGCCGCCGGGUGCCCGACAGCUGCUGCAAGACGGUGGUGGCCCGUUGCGGCCAGCGGGCCCACCCCUCCAACAUCUACAAGGUGGAGGGCGGCUGCAUCACCAAGCUGGAGCAGUUCCUGGCCGACCACCUGCUGCUCAUGGGCGCGGUGGGCAUCGGGGUGGCCUGCCUGCAGAAAACUUGACGGAAAACACCUGGGGCCUGGGGCCACCUUGAACUUGUAAGGAAGAGAGCCCCGGGAGGAGUGGGAGUGUGGGCCCAGGUCUGCGGAAUGACCCUCACUUGCUGCUUCCACCGGAGGCUCCAGCUGCAUUCUUACUAACAUGCCCAGCCACGUCCCCUCCAGUUGCUCCCCUUGAGUUCAGGUGCCCAGAUCCCAUCGGCCGGGCCUGCGGGGUAACUCCCCACACUCUGUGCCAGCCCCUUCCGACCCACCGAGUGCCUGAGACUGUGGCUCCUGCAGCUCCACCCAGGCGGGGGGCCCUCGGCCUCCGCCCACCAACUCCGAGCGCUUGUUCCAGAAUCCCCAGGCAGGAUACGGAUCCCCUUGGGAGCCACAGCCAGAGCCUCGCCAGGUGUGGCCCCUGGGGACUCCACUGCCUCCCAGCUCCAGCCCCAGGCCCCUUGGGUACACCUGCGCUCGGUACGUGGCCCCCCCGUGAGUGCAGAGCGUUCCUCCUCCUGCCUCCGUGGCUCCAAAAGUGCAUCGGAUGCGGGGGUUCCAGACGGCUCUGCCCCCAGAAGCCCCAGCCCUCCCCUCCACCCUCCUCACCUGGAGGGGAGUGUGCCUGUGGUGGCCUGGUUCCUCCCUGCAGGGCCCAGGAGCCAGGUGGUGGGGAGCUGGGGUUGGGCUGCGGCAGGCAGGGUGGAGCCCCCCGGGACAGGGAGCAGGCGGCCCCCUUGCCCCCCCCCCCUGAGCAGUUCCCCUGGGAGACCACGGCCCCAGGCCCCGUCUCCAGCAGGUGCCCCUCGCGGGUCUCCUGUCUGUGGCCUGAUUCUCGGGAAGGCCAGGCUUUUAAAACCACUUUCAGCUCUUAAUGUUGGUGGGAGAAUCCUCCCUCCUGAUUAAACUGAAUCUCAGACCCUGCAAAGCUGGAGUCUCUGAGAAGGUGCAGCUCUGAGCAGAGGGGCGCUUUGCCCUGAACCUCCCUGUCCUGGCUCCUGGACCCCCCGGCCGCCUGCAGGGGCCCCGCUCCGCUUCCCGGAGUGGAUAGAGCCCCCGCUGAGGUUCUCUCCUUCAUCCCUGAGUUGCUGAACUUUCCCGAAGAGUGAGGGAGAACAGAAAGGAGGUCCUCGCAAAUACCGGGGACGGAUGCUGCCAGUUUUCCAAAGAACGCAUGUCAACUCGUAAGACAGCCGUGGGGCCCCUCCACGUGCCUGUCGCAAGUGGGCAGCUCCCAACACCAGAACCCACACCGGCUUCCCCGUCUCCCGGGUCCUGGUCCCCCUGCUCCUGCUUCCCAUCCCUGACAUGAGGCCCCCUGUGAUGCGGAGACCACGCUGGGAAAGGCCACACCUUGCCUCCCCCAUCCCUUGCUGACCCGGAUCGGUCCCAGGUGAAGGGUGUUUUCUUUCCCAUUCCUGGGUCAGUGCUGCCCCCAACACAGCUCCAACUGCACCGAGGCCGCACACCCCCAGAAGAGGCAUUGCCCUCAUGCACAGAGAAUCCCGGCCCCGGGCUCCCCCGGGGGACUGUCGGAGCCCUGGCUGCGCCAUCCUCCAGGGGGUCUCCAACGCGAAUUCAUUAAAAGAGAGACCGGCUUCCCAGCAACCCCAGGCCGCGCCGAGGCUGCAAAACCGUGCCCUGAUGAUCUCUGUGGCCCUCCGGCUCCCUGGGACUCCUGCCGACAAUCGAGAAAUGACCACGACUCCUAAGUCUCUGCAGGGCUGGGUAUCAGACUGACAAGUCUUACCACGUGAGGGCUGCAAGGGAGAGUGCUGUGUUCCUCCUGCCGAGGGGCCUGCGGGAGGCGGGGGUGGCAGGGGGUGUCGUGCUGGCCCGCGUCUGCCCCUGGUGGGGCCCCUGCGUUCUUCAUGGAGGUCAGCCGGGCUCGUGCAGGUGGCUUCAGGGUGAUGGGCGUGUGUGCCCUGCGCAGCCUUGUCCUGGGGGAGGCCCGCCUGGCUGAGGGCAGGGUUCGCUGUGAUUCUUCCCUGGGCACCAUCCCGCCCAGACGGCUGCUGCAGAGGGAGAGGACGGCCCAGAGCUUUCUGGAACUGUGACCUUAUUCGCGCCUGGGAGGUGAGACAGGGUUGGAGGGGACAGAAGCCCAGGAUAAGGCAGGUUCCGAUGGGGCACACAAAAAGACGAGUUGGGAGCGGGGAAGCCGUUCCCCGGAGCCAUGCCUGCCCUGCCUGUGAGGAAGCAGCUCUGCGCCCAGGACAGCCCCUCCUGGGUCCCUGCUCAGAGGUGUCACGGUCACGAGCUCCUUGGAGAGGGUAGGACACGAUGCUGGAAGCACACAGGGGUCCAGAAAAGAAGUCAGCGUUCUGCAGAGAUCUGGACACGGCAGGGGCCGGAGCCCGCACGGCGCCGGUCAGCACAUCCUCACCUGGAGCAGGCUGCCCUCCCUCAGCAGCCCUGUUUUCCCACCACCUUCUGCCUCGGGAGAGCCCCCUUUGUCUGUUUUGGUGCAAUGCACAGCCCCGCACUCACCCACAGCGUCCUGUGGGCCCCCUUCACCUGCAUAAGUGCCAGACACACCCCUACAAGUGCCUCGAAGAAUUCAUCGCAGGCAGCCUGGUGUCGGGGGCAGGCCAGCUCCUGGGACCCGCUGCCUCUGGAUAUGGGUGGUCACAAUGUUCUAGAUGUUGCCUUACCUACUGCGUACAGAGAUGGCUCUAGGUGUGAACACACCCCUCUCCUUAGCCUCAGCGUGAGCCCCACCUCUCAAGCCGGGCCGCGACAAUAAAGGGAUUGCAGCCCA